UGCUUAAUACAUGCAAGUCGAACGAAGCACCUUACCGGAUUUUCUUCGGAGAUGAAGGUUUUGUGACUUAGUGGCGGACGGGUGAGUAACGCGUGGGUAACCUGCCUCAUGCAGGGGGACAACAGCUGGAAACGGCUGCUAAUACCGCAUAAGCGCACGGCAUCGCAUGAUGCAGUGUGAAAAGAUUUAUCGGCAUGAGAUGGACCCGCGUCUGAUUAGAUAGUUGGUGGGGUAACGGCCCACCAAGUCGACGAUCAGUAGCCGGCUUGAGAGAGUGACCGGCCACAUUGGGACUGAGACACGGCCCAGACUCCUACGGGAGGCAGCAGUAGGGAAUAUUGCACAAUGGGGGAAACCCUGAUGCAGCGACGCCGCGUGAGUGAAGAAAUAUUUCGGUAUGUAAAGCUCUAUCAGCAGGGAAGAUAAUGACGGUACCUGACUAAGAAGCCCCGGCUAACUACGUGCCAGCAGCCGCGGUAAUACGUAGGGGGCAAGCGUUAUCCGGAUUUACUGGGUGUAAAGGGAGUGUAGGCGGCAUGGCAAGUCAGAUGUGAAAACCCGCGGCUCAACUGCGGGACUG
rnacentral:rRNA from 1 species